AUUGACGUGAGUGGCGGACGGGUGAGUAACACGUGGGUAACCUGCCCUUAAGCGGGGGAUAACAUUUGGAAACAGAUGCUAAUACCGCAUAAAAGUUGAGAUCACAUGGUCUUAAUUUGAAAGACGGCCUUUGGCUGUCACUUAAGGAUGGACCCGCGGCGUAUUAGCUAGUUGGUGAGAUAAUAGCCCACCAAGGCGAUGAUACGCAGCCGACCUGAGAGGGUAAUCGGCCACAUUGGGUACUGAGACACGGCCCAAACUCCUACGGGAGGCACCUGUAGGGAAUCUUCCACUAUGGACGAAAGUCUGAUGGAGCAACGCCGCGUGAGUGAAGAAGGUUUUCGGAUCGUAAAACUCUGUUGUUGGAGAAGAACAGGGACUAGAGUAACUGUUAGUCCUUUGACGGUAUCCAACCAGAAAGCCACGGCUAACUACGUGCCAGCAGCCGCGGUAAUACGUAGGUGGCAAGCGUUGUCCGGAUUUAUUGGGCGUAAAGCGAGCGCAGGCGGUUUCUUAAGUCUGAUGUGAAAGCCUUCGGCUUAACCGAAGAAGUGCAUCAGAUACUGGGAAACUUGAGUGCAGAAGAGGAAAGUGGAACUCCAUGUGUAGCGGUGAAAUGCGUAGAUAUAUGGAAGAACACCAGUGGCGAAGGCGGCUUUCUGGUCUGUAACUGACGCUGAGGCUCGAAAGUAUGGGGAGCGAACAGGAUUAGAUACCCUGGUAGUCCAUACCGUAAACGAUGAAUGCUAAGUGUUGGAGGGUUUCCGCCCUUCAGUGCUGCAGCUAACGCAUUAAGCAUUCCGCCUGGGGAGUACGACCGCAAGGUUGAAACUCAAAGGAAUUGACGGGGGCCCGCACAAGCGGUGGAGCAUGUGGUUUAAUUCGAAGCUACGCGAAGAACCUUACCAGGUCUUGACAUCUAGCGCCAAUCCUAGAGAUAGGACGUUCCCUUCGGGGACGCUAAGACAGGUGGUGCAUGGUUGUCGUCAGCUCGUGUAGUGAGAUGUUGGGUUAAGUCCCGCAACGAGCGCAACCCUUAUGAUUAGUUGCCAGCAUUUAGUUGGGCACUCAAAUCAGACUGCCGGUGACAAACCGGAGGAAGGUGGGG
rnacentral:rRNA from 1 species